rnacentral:rRNA from 1 species
AUGAAGAACUACAUUCCUUCAUUGAACAUGGAAGGGCGUACUAUCACAGAUCAGAAAGGCAAGGAGGAAGCCUUCUAUAAUGCAUACAAGGAUUUGUUGGGCAAGGACGUUGCUAGAGAGUUCACGCUAGAUUUGGAGGGUCUUGGAGUCGCUCACGUGGAUUUAUCGGAGCAAGACCGGGUAUUUACUGAAGAGGAGGUGUGGGCAGUCAUUAAGGAUUUUCCCUCCGAUAAAGCACCGGGACCGGAUGGGUUCAUUGGCUUGUUCUUUCAAAAAUCUUGGGAAGUGAUCAAGAUGGAUCUGAUGGCUGCUAUUCAUAAGCUGUUCCUUGGAAAUGGGAGGGGUUUUGGGAGGCUUAACCAAGCCUUCAUCACUCUUUUGCCGAAGUCCCCAGAUGCUUCUUCUGUAUUUGAUUUUCGGCCGAUUAGUCUUGUGCAUAGCAUGCCCAAGAUUGCUUCCAAGCUCCUUACUUCGAGGCUUAGACCGCGCAUGGGGGACCUUGUCCAGGUGAAUCAGUCCGCUUUCAUAAAAGGGAGAUGCUUGCACGAUAAUUUCCUUCUGAUGAGACAAGUGGCGAAGAUGAUGCACAAAAGGAAAGCUAAAGGAGUUCUGCUCAAGCUAGACAUUACUAAAGCCUUUGACUCCUUGUCAUGGCCGUUAUUGUUUGAAGUGUUGAGAGCCAAGGGUUUUUCAGAGCGGUGGAUCUCUUGGAUCGCCACCCUGCUUACGACGGCUAGUUCCAGAGUGAUCGUAAAUGGGCGUGUGGGAGAUAAGUUUAUGCAUGCUAAAGGUUUGAGGCAAGGGGAUUUGAUCUCCCCCUUACUCUUUGUUAUCGCCAUGGAUAUCCUCACGCAUAUUAUUAUCAAGGCACAUGAAGCUGGAGUCAUGAGUCGCAUCAAUGGAUGUAGCCCGGUGCAGCGGCUGUCGUUGUAUGCGGAUGAUGUGGUUCUUUUCAUCAAACCCACACGACCGGAUCUGGAGUUAGUCAGAGAAUCUCUUACCAUCUUUGGAGUUGCUUCUGGACUGAAAGUAAAUUUUGCUAAAUUGGCGGCAAUUAUGAUUCGAGCAGAGCUGGAGGAUGAGGAUAUUGUGAAGUCGGCGCUGCCCUGGAAGCUUGCCACUUUUCCUUGCAAGUACCUUGGACUGCAAUAA